AGAAAAAUUAAUUGCUUACCAACGAGAAUUCCUCGCUUUAAAAGAACGUCUUCGAGUGGCCGAACAUAGGAUAUCUCAGCGCUCCUCUGAGCUAAACACCAUUGUCCAACAGUUCCGCCGAGCUGGAGCGGAGACUAAUGGAAGUAAGGCUGGUCUGAGUACGUUCUCAGAUAAUACCAUAAAGCUUCUAAAAGAGUUGACAAGCAAAAAAUCACUUCAAGUGCCAAGUAUUUAUUAUCAUUUGCCUCAUCUAUUGCAAAAUGAAAGAAGCCUUCAGCCCGCCGUACAGAUUGGCAGUGGAAGAACGGGAGUUUCAAUAGUCAUGGGGAUUCCUACUGUGAAGAGAGAAGUUAAAUCUUACCUCAUAGAGACCCUUCACUCCCUUAUUGAUAAUCUGUAUCCUGAAGAGAAGCUGGACUGUGUUAUAGUUGUCUUCAUAGGAGAGGUAAUCGCUUGUUAUUUCUUUCACCUUGUGUGACCCGAGGGUUAAGAGACUCACCAAAUAUCCGCAUGUGUUUCUAUAAGCAUUUAAGCCAGUGGUUCUCAACCUGUGGGUUGUGGCCCUAUGGGGGUGGAAGAUCUGAUACAUCCUGCGUAUCAGAUAUUGACGUCACGAUUCAUAACAGUAGCAAACUUAGAGUUACGGAAUAGCAAUGUGGGGGUCACCACCACAUGAAGAAGUGUAGUGAAGGGUCACACAUUAGG
rnacentral:lncRNA from 1 species